AACACACACAUUUCUUCUUUGCUUCAUUUUCGCCGGACUUAGCUCCGGCUGUUGUUCCGGUCGUGAAAACUCCAAUACUCUUCAGAUUGAGUCAGAUAUUUGUCCUCCACUUGUUUUACCGGACGCGAUUCUGAUUCUGAUUCCGAGUACGGCUUCAGCUCCGGUUCCGUCUUCGAAACACUCUCCUCUGGUGUUUGUUUGUCUUUCGUUUCCUAGAUUGAAGGUCUCUGUUUCGUCGGCAUUUAUGUCCGGCGAAGUUCGUCUUCCACUCCAUUUCGUGGUUCUUGUCUUUGAGGUUCGUUCGUCUUCCCCUCUUUUCUCUCUUCAUGCGUGUUCCUGUCUUUGAGGUCUAAGGGUUUCAGCCUAUCGCCGUUUCGUUUGAGGCUGACUUAGCGUCGCCGAAGAUGUGAUAGUGACAUCUAACCAUCGUGAUAGUGACAUCUAACCUUGGUGAUAGUGACAUAUAACUUCACUCUUCUCCUAUUCCAUUUCUCCUCUCUUUUCUUUCUUCUAUAAAUUAAAGUUCUUACACACCAUAUUUCACCUCUCACCAGCUCUUGUGUAGAAUUUCAUCCAAACUUCAUUAGUCUAGCUUCUUCUUCAUUGCUCUUUUUAAAUUUUUAUGCAUUCUUUUUGUAGUAACAUUAUAUUUGGAUGGAGAAGGAGACUACAAAAACAUUAUACGUGUGCACGACACACGUAACUCCAGUACACUGGUUUGAAACAUCAGAUUCUACCAUUUUCGUUGUGGAUGGGAACAACUUCAUAGCUAUUUCUAUUACAUUUUCAAAUUCGGCUGGAGCGGGAUCAAAACACAGCCAAGCAGUUGCUCUUCUGAACAGUAAUAAUGUAAAUUAUACGGUAUUUCACAAGUGCGUUUUUCUUGGGUAUCAAGACACACUUUUCAUAAAUGAAAAGAUGUUGUUUUUCAAAGAUUGUGAAAUCCACCCUACAGUAGAUUUCAUAUUUGGAAAAACACUUGCUGUUUUUCAAGAUUGUAGAAUUUACGCCGACUACUAAAUAAGACGGUUACUGUCACUGCACAAUCUAAAUGAAACGAUUGUGUUUCUUGGCCGUCCUUGGAGAGACUUUUCCACUGUGAUUUUCAUGGAAUCGUUUCUAGACUCAGUGGUGAAUCCAGCCGGAUGGUCAGAAUGGUCCAAUAGUAGUUCUCUGAAAUUAUUAUUUUAUGCCGAGUAUAGCCCUAGAGGACCGAGGGCUAACUUAUUCGGAAGAGUCAAAUGGUUAGAAUUCCAUGCAAUAGAGAAUCGAAAAGAAGCCAUUCAAUUCAGUGUACGGCAAUUUAUUAAUGGGACUAUAUGGUUGCCAGAAACGAGUCUACCAUGUAGACCAGAUUUGUAAUAUAGAUAUGUGCGACAUGACAUGCAAUAAAAGUUACAUGGUUACCAGAAACUGGUAUACCAAAUA